GGAUUCGUUCAAGGUGAAAGUGGCGAACGGGUGAGUAACGCGUUGGUGAUCUGCCCCGGAGUGGGGAAUAACUAUCGGAAACGAUAGCUAAUACCCCAGAUGUCUUCGUGUUUGGAAAGCGAUGACUAAAGUUCAGGCGCUCCGGGAGGAGCCUGCGUCCCAUCAGCUAGUUGGUAGGGUAAUGGCCUACCAAGGCACAGACGGGUAGGGGGCGUGAGAGCGUGGCCCCCCACACUGGUACUGACACACGGACCAGAUGCCUACGGGUAGCAGCAGCUAGGAAUAUUGGGCAAUGGGCGAAAGCCUGACCCAGCAACACCGCGUGAAGGACGACGGCCUUCGGGUUGUAAACUUCUUUUCGAGGGAAUGAGAAAGGACAGUACCCUCGGAAUAAGGCCCGGCUAACUACGUGCCAGCAGCCGCGGUAAUACGUAGGGGCCAAGCGUUAUCCGGAUUUACUGGGCGUAAAGCGCAUGUAGGCGGUCCGCUAAGUCGGGCGUGAAAUCUCCGGGCUUAACCCGGAGUGGCCGUUCGAUACUGCAGGGCUUGAGGGUGCUAGAGGGUGGUGGAAUUCCCGGUGUAGUGGUGAAAUGCGUAGAGAUCGGGAGGAACAUCAGUGGCGAAGGCGGCCACCUGGGGCAUUCCUGACGCUGAGAAGCGACAGCUAGGGGAUCAAACGGGAUUAGAAACCCCGGUAGUCCUAGCCGUAAACGAUGGACGCUAGGUGUUGGCAGAUCUAACCCUGUCCGCGCCGAAGCAAACGCGUUAAGCGUCCCGCCUGGGAACUACGGUCGCAAGAUUAAAACUCAAAGGAAUUGACGGGGACCCGCACAAGCAGCGGAGCGUGUGGUUUAAUUCGAUGCUACACGAAGAACCUUA
rnacentral:rRNA from 1 species